rnacentral:rRNA from 1 species
GAUGAACGCUGGCGGCGUGCUUAACACAUGCAAGUCGAACGAAGCGAUACAAAGGAAGUUUUCGGAUGGAAUUUGUAUUGACUGAGUGGCGGACGGGUGAGUAACGCGUGGGUAACCUGCCUCAUACAGGGGGAUAACAGUUAGAAAUGACUGCUAAUACCGCAUAAGCGCACAGAAUUGCAUGAUUCAGUGUGAAAAACUCCGGUGGUAUGAGAUGGACCCGCGUCUGAGUAGCUGGUUGGUGGGGUAACGGCUCACCAAGGCGACGAUCAGUAGCCGACCUGAGAGGGUGAUCGGCCACAUUGGGACUGAGACACGGCCCAA